rnacentral:sRNA from 2 species
UUGCAAAUUCGGCCUAAUUCCGGAGCAUCCGGAAGCGGAGGACCCACGUAUUUGGGGUUAAUCCUUACUUUUGUAAGGAGGGAUGAGAAUCGCUCUUUCGCCAUCCUACCCGUCAGCUAACUUCGUCGGCUAAAGCGAAGGAGGUC